UGCAGUCGUGGGGACGGCAUUAUGUGCUUGCACAUUCUGGACGUCGACCGGCGCACGGGUGAGUAUCGCGUAUCCAACCUGCCCCUUACUUGGGGAUACCCCGUUGAAAGACGGCCUAAUACCCGAUGUGUUUCAUUGACGGCAUCCGAUAUGAAACAAAGGUUUUCCGGUAAGGGAUGGGGAUGCGUCUGAUUAGCUAGUUGGCGGGGCAACGGCCCACCAAGGCUACGAUCAGUAGGGGUUCUGAGAGGAAGGUCCCCCACAUUGGAACUGAGACACGGUCCAAACUCCUACGGGAGGCAGCAGUGAGGAAUAUUGGUCAAUGGACGCAAGUCUGAACCAGCCAAGUAGCGUGCAGGAUGACGGCCCUAUGGGUUGUAAACUGCUUUUAUGUGGGAAUAAAUUGGCGCACGUGUGCGCCAUUGCAUGUACCUCAUGAAUAAGGACCGGCUAAUUCCGUGCCAGCAGCCGCGGUAAUACGGAAGGUCCGGGCGUUAUCCGGAUUUAUUGGUUUAAAGGGAGUGGUAGGCGGUGA
rnacentral:rRNA from 1 species